GUGUCAGCAGCCGCGGUAAUACGGAAGGCCCGAGCGUUAAUCGGAAUCACUGGGCUUAAAGCGUGCGCAGGCGGAGCGGCAGGCACCUCGUGAAAUCCCACGGCUCAACCGUGGAAUUGCCGGGUGAACCGCCGUUCUCGAGGCAGGUAGGGGUCAGCGGAACUAUGGGUGGAGCGGUGAAAUGCGUAGAUAUCCAUGGGAACGCCAAUGGCGAAGGCAGCUGACUGGGCCUGUCCUGACGCUCAGGCACGAAAGCGUGGGUAGCAAACGGGAUUAGAUACCCCGGUAGUCCACGCCGUAAACGAUGCACACUAGGUCGGGGGGGUUCUCAUGCCUUCCCGGCCGAAGGAAAACUGUUAAGUGUGCCGCCUGGGGAGUACGGUCGCAAGGCUAAAACUCAAAGGAAUUGACGGGG
rnacentral:rRNA from 1 species